UAUUGUCAAAAGAGGUUUGGAGGUAA
rnacentral:sRNA from 1 species